rnacentral:lncRNA from 1 species
UAACAUGAGGCCUUACUUGAAAAUAUACCAAGCACUUGGCUAUAGAAGGUAGAAAAGUUUAUAAAAAUAAGAUUUUAAUUCUAAUAGAAUCCUAAAUAAUUUUAAUUAAAUUCUAAUAAUUCUAAUCAAGCUUUAAUCAAAUCCAAAGAAAUCUUAAAAAAAUUAUGAAAGAAACAUGAAGAAAUCCUAAAGAAAUUCAAACAAAGUAUUAAAAUAAAAUCUUAAAUAUAUCUUAAAUAAAUUCUAAUAAGAUAUUAAUUUAAUCUUAGUUAAAUUUCUAGUAGUAUUUAAUUAAAUCCUAAGUCAAAUCCUAACUAAUCCUAAAUAAUCCUAAAUCCUAAACAUACCCUAAAUCUUAAUCAAAUUCUAGUCAAAUUAACCUAAUCCUAGGGCAGUUUAGAAAUUCAAUAUCUAUCAAUUAUAUUAUUGAUCUUGCUUAAGAUUUUAUAUACCUCUCAAAAACCAAGUUGGCAAUAAGUAUACAAAAUUUUAAGGAGAUCAAACUUACUAAAUAGAAGAUCAAUUCUAAAUU